UGACUAUGAUGAGAACUUAUCCUGAAGCUGAUCAUUUUGAUGAGACACUAACGGAUCUGAUUCCUGAGUU
ensembl:snoRNA small nucleolar RNA SNORD50